rnacentral:rRNA from 1 species
GUCCUAGCUGUAAACGUUGGGCACUAGGUGUGGCGGACUCAUUGACGUCUGCCGUGCCGCAGCUAACGCAUUAAGUGCCCCGCCUGGGGAGUACGGUCGCAAGGCUAAAACUCAAAGGAAUUGACGGGAGCCCGCACAAGCGGCGGAGCAUGCGGCUUAAUUCGAUGCAACCCGAAGAACCUUACCUGGGCUUGACAUCAUGGGAAAUCCCGCAGAGAUGCGGAGUGCGAAAGCGCCCAUGACAGGUGGUGCAUGGCUGUCGU